GACGAACGCUGGCGGCGUGCUUAACACAUGCAAGUCGAACGGAAAGGCCCUGCUUUUGUGGAGUGCUCGAGUGGCGAACGGGUGAGUAACACGUGAGUAACCUGCCCUUGACUUUGGGAUAACUUCAGGAAACUGGGGCUAAUACCGGAUAGGAGCUCCUGCUGCAUGGUGGGGGUUGGAAAGUUUCGGCGGUUGGGGAUGGACUCGCGGCUUAUCAGCUUGUUGGUGGGGUAGUGGCUUACCAAGGCUUUGACGGGUAGCCGGCCUGAGAGGGUGACCGGCCACAUUGGGACUGAGUUACGGCCCAGACUCCUACGGGAGGCAGCAGUGGGGAAUAUUGCACAAUGGGCGGAAGCCUGAUGCAGCAACGCCGCGUGCGGGAUGACGGCCUUCGGGUUGUAAACCGCUUUCGCCUGUGACGAAGCGUGAGUGACGGUAAUGGGUAAAGAAGCACCGGCUAACUACGUG
rnacentral:rRNA from 1 species